rnacentral:misc_RNA from 1 species
UGCUAGCGUAGCAGUGAUCACUUUUCCCAAUGAAGUUCAAGUUGUGCCCUAACUUUUCAGUGGAGUUGUCUCGCUCACGGGAAGACUGUCUGAGUUGCAACAACUCUCUGCACGGCUGUUCCUCAGGCGGUAAGCCUUCAUCGUUGCGUAUGAUAGCACGAUCAAGGCUAGAAUAGCCAGCUCCAACGCUUCCAGGUGCACGCCCUCGUCGUCGCUGCUUGCCAUCUCCAAAAUUGUCUCGUUCCAACCUGGUGGCAGAACCACCGGCGGCUGAAACGGUUUGUUCAGGGUCAGGACAGCGAAAACCACAAG